GUUAUAUCAAUUAUCACCCGUGGUACUGUCGACACCCGACUUGUGGUAAUGUUACUCCAUAACCAGGUUGUAACAAAUUUUGUAUACAAAACCCCAACAUACCCACGAUAAUUGUAUUCUUACAAAUACUCAAUAACUGUCAUUCGCAUGGAAAAGUUAUCCUUUAUGGUUUCCUGGUGAAUAUCUAUAAUUUACACAAAUGCACGUGUGU
rnacentral:lncRNA from 1 species